GACGAACGCUGGCGGCGUGCUUAACACAUGCAAGUCGAGCGGGGAGAUAUCUUUCGGGAUAUCUUCUAGCGGCGGACGGGUGAGUAACGCGUGAGCAACCUCUCCUCUACUGGGGAAUAACACAGGGAAACUUGUACUAAUACCGCAUAAGACCACAGGGUCGCAUGGCUCAGGGGGUCAAAAGAUUUAUCGGUAGAGGGUGGGCUCGCGUCUGAUUAGGUAGUUGGUGGGGUAACGGCCUACCAAGGCGACGAUCAGUAGCCGACCUGAGAGGGUGAUCGGCCACAUUGGAACUGAGACACGGUCCAAAACUCCUACGGGAGGCAGCAUGGGGAAUAUUGGGGCAAUGGGGGGAAACCCCUGACCCAGCAACGCCGCGUGAAGGAAGAA
rnacentral:rRNA from 1 species